rnacentral:lncRNA from 1 species
GUACCUGUAUGGAUAUUGGGGACUGAGUAAUGUUGAUCCACGUCGAUACAAGGUGUCUUCUUCACUCUUGGUUGUCCUAUUCUUCAAGUCUUCUUUCUCUUCGCGUGCUUCGGUCGGCCGGCGGGGGUACCUGCGAUUGCACUCCGACGCUCAAGUCAGCGAUGGUGCUCAAGUGUGAAUUCUCUGAUCGUAUGGAAAACGUACCUUUUCCCCCUUUUCAGAAGUCCCUUUAGUAGGUUGACCUGGGCCUUGGCCAUGUGGGCCAAUCAGUUGAUGGUUAGAGACAUGCUUAGUGGUCUUUGGGUCGUGCCUGGUGGUUUCCUGAAAACCAGGGGAGUGGUCUAGAGAACGUGUUUUUACUUCGUCAAUGGUUGUCAUAACUGCUCUUUUCUACACGUGUAACCACGUUCUGGAUUAAAUUAGAUUUAAUCGACAUAAACCAUUCGGCCGUCCGGCUAGAGGUCAUGGAAGGACGAAGAGUCGUAUAAGACGCA